CUUCUCAUUGUCGUACUGACAGAGCAGCUUCACUUUAUCAGGUGGAAGAUUCAUGGAAUUCUACAAUCACAGAGCAAGAGAAAUCAUAAACCAUUGGUGUUUCUAGAUCAGCUGAAGGGUGGACUACUGCUGAAGAUGGAUGGUUUGUCCUUUCAGUGGUGGGGGCAGUUUAGGGGCUGGUGGCUGUUUGUGCCCGUAAGUGCUGAGGGGUCGUCUGACAUCCCGCCCGGGUGUCAUCUCCAGACUUCCAGCUGCAUUUCCCAUGGCUGUAUGCGGAGUUACACACAGAGAAUUCGCUCCAAUGGUGGGAUACUUUAGGGACACAGUCAGAUAAAAUCCAACAGUGGCUCGAAUCCUAUAAAAUUUGGUUCUAUGUCGGCUACCAUGUAAAAGGUUGUGGAUUUUACACAGUUGAUGACUUAUUC